UGGAUUCAUGAUAUAAUUUCAUGUUAUUUAUGUGGAGGAAAGCCAUUUAAGCUGCAUAAGACUUCAAGAUGUUUGAAAUUUUAUACAAUGUCAAUAUCUUGUCGAAAAAUGUUGUGGUUUUUGCAACUUUUUCUAAAUUUUUGCUUGAUAUUUAUUCAUGUAUGUAUUAUUUGAAUUAAACAUGUGUGUGGAGACCUAUAAUAAGUAAAUAGCAAAUGUCCAAAUGUUAAGAAAAUAAAUACAUCGUAUUUUGUUAUUGAGGAAUAAUGUGUAAUCGGUUUCAAGAUGUUCUCUAGGUAUCAACCUAAAACAGAGACAACUCUUUCUAUGCAUAAUGCAGUGUGCUAUAUGAUCAGGGUUUUACCACUUACAAGUUUUAACCUCGCUGUACUCAUGGCUGCUUAUGUGAUUUGGGCAUUGGUUGAAGCCUGUUUGAAACAAUAGGGUAUUCAGGGUUCUUUAUGAUGUUAGUACAUGAACAUUCGUAAUUAUGCUUCCCAGUCAUGUUGUGUACUCAAAAUGUAUACUGUGCAUUUGAUUCAAUAAUAUAACAAUGAUUUAAUCAAUAAAUAAUAAUUCAAACAUUCAAGCUUUAUGAUGCAUAGCACAAAUAAUUGCAUGUUAUAAAAAUCAAGAGCUUUAAAUUGUGUUUUGCUUUAUGAUGAUUUUCAAAACAAUGGUCAAUAAAUACAUACAUAAGUUUAUAACACUCCUGACAGAGUAACAUAAUAAUAAUUGUGGUUUCUAUAUUUAUAGAUAAACAUCAUAAUUAGCAAAAUAAUAAAGUGUUACACUUUCUGUAUUAAGAUGUUUUAUCAAUACUUUGGAAAAAAUGUCUUUUAUUAUCCCCUCCUUAAAAGAAGAGGGGGUAUAUUGUUUUGCUGGAUGUCUGUUUGUCUCUCUGUCGGUUUGUCGGUAGACCAGUUUGUUUCCGAUAAAUAACUUGUCAAUGGAUUGACCGAUUGGAUUGAAACUUCACACGUGCAUUUGCCUUGGACAGUAGAUGAACCGUACUGAAAUUAGGGUCACUAGGUCAAAGGUCAAGGUCACUGUAACAAUAAGUGUGAAAAUCAUUUCCGAUCAAUAACUCGUCAACGAAUUGACCAAUUGGCUUGAUACUAACUUCACAUGUGCAUUGGUCUUGGACAGUAGAUGACCCCUAUUAAAAUUGGGGUCACUAGGUCAAGGUCACUGUCACCAUAAGUGUGAAAAUCGUUUCCGAUUAAAAACUCUUCAAGGAAUUGACUGAUUGGCUUGGUACUUCACAUGUGCAUUGGCCUUGGACAGUAGAUGACCCCUAUUGAAAUUGGGGUCACUAGCUCAAAGGUCAAGUGUCUAAUCGUUUAUGUUCAAUAACUUGUCAACCAAUUGACAGAUUGGCGUGAUACUUCACAUGUGCAUUGGCCUUGGACAGUUAAUGACCCCUACAGAAACUGGGGUCACUAGGCCAAAGGUCCAUGUCACUGUCUGAAAAAGUGUCAAAAUAGUUUCUGACCAAUAACUUGUCAACCAAUUGACCAAUUGACUUGAUACUUCCCAUGCCCAUUGGCAUUGGACAGUAGACGACCUCUUUUAAAUUUGGGUCACUAGGUCAAAGACCAAGGUCACUGUCACAAUAAGUGUGAAAAUCGUUUCCGAUCAUUCAUCCGUCAACAAAUUGACCGAUUGGCAUGAUAAUUCACAUGUGCAUUCGCCUUGGACAGUAGAUGACCCCUAUUGAAAUUGGGGUCACUAGGUCAAUGCCCUGUUUGGGGGGGGGCAUAUUUCUCCGUCCAUGAAACUCUUGUUAACAUAGAAUUUAUAGUACCCUGAUAAUACCGCAGGUCAAAAUGGUGAAGUUAAAGCCAGAUGUCCAAAUGUGUGUUGUGGGGGUCAAGUGUCACUCAUUUCUAGUAAUAAUUCAACUUUUUAUGUCCCCCACUAUAGUAGUGGGGGACAUAUUGUUUUUGCCCUGUCUGUUGGUUGGUUGGUUGGUUGGUCUGUCUGUUGGUCUGUUUGCGCCAACUUAAACAUUUGCAAUAACUUUUGCAAUAUUGAAGAUAGCAACUUGAUAUUUGGCAUGCAUAUGUAUCUCAUGGAGCUGCACAUUUUGAGUGGUGAAAGCUCAAGGUCAAGGUCAUCCUUCAAGGUCAAAGGUUAAAUAUAUGGGUCAAAAUCGCUAAUUUAAUGUACACUUUUGCAGUAUUUCAAUAUUCAAGAUAGCAACUUGAUAUUUGGCAUGCAUGUGUAUCUCAUGGAGCUGCACAUUUUGAGUGGUGAAAGGUCAAGGUCAUCCUUCAAGGUCAGAGGUCAAAUAUAUGUGGCCACAAUCGCUCAUUUUAUGAGUACUUUUGCAAUAUUGAAGAUAGCAACUUGAUAUUUGGCAUGCAUGUGUAUCUCAUGGAGCUGCACAUUUUUAGUGGUGAAAGGUCAAGGUCAUUCUUCAAGGUCAAAGGUCAAAUAUAUGUGGCCCAAAUCGCUUAUUUUAUUAAUACUUUUGCAAUAUUGAAGAUAGCAACUUGAUACUGGCAUGCAUGUGUAUCUCAUGGAGCUGCACAUUUUGAGUGGUGAAAGGUCAAGGUUAUCCUUCAAGGUCAAAUAUAUGGGUCAAAGUUGCUCAUGUAAUGUCACUUCUGCAAUAUUGAAGCUAGCAAUUUUAUAUUUGAAAUGCAUGUGUAUCUCGUGGAGCUGCACAUUUUGAGUGGUGAAGGGUCAAGGUCAUCCUUCAAGGUCAAACGUCAUAUAGGGGGACAUUGUGUUUCACAAACGCAUCUUGUUUUUCUAGCUUUUGUAAACAUUUGAGAUCAUUCCAUACAGAGAUAUUCUAUAUUUGCAAGUCAAUACAUAUACCCUAAAUAUUUAUAAAAAAAGAAAAUCUGUGAACAAGUCUCUUUAAUGGUGCACAGGAUAUAGACAUCUUCAACAUGCAAUAUUUAUUUCUGUAUGCAUUUAACAUUAUAGAUUAAAGUUGACUAUACUAUUCGUUAUUAAAUCUUAUUAAUGAUUAUUUCUUUUAAAAAUGUUGCAGUAAAUGUAUUUAACUUAAGAAGGAGUGGAAUUCAACAUCUACAAGUGCAGCACUGGCAUGUAUUCUGUUUAAUAUUAAAUUAUAAAAUUGUAUAUGCUUGUUAAAUGUAUUAUUGACUGUAUUAUUUGCCUCCGUGGAUGAACAUUGUUUUCAUAAUUUAUUCCACAUAACAUGUAAAUUUCUAUUAAACAGAGUUAUCAUA